CCUACGGGAGGCUGCAGUGGGGAAUAUUGCACAAUGGGCGCAAGCCUGAUGCAGCCAUGCCGCGUGUGUGAAGAAGGCCUUCGGGUUGUAAAGCACUUUCAGCGGGGAGGAAGGCGGUGAGGUUAAUAACCUCAUCGAUUGACGUUACCCGCAGAAGAAGCACCGGCUAACUCCGUGCCAGCAGCCGCGGUAAUACGGAGGGUGCAAGCGUUAAUCGGAAUUACUGGGCGUAAAGCGCACGCAGGCGGGCUGUCAAGUCGGAUGUGAAAUCCCCGGGCUCAACCUGGGAACUGCAUUCGAAACUGGCAGGCUAGAGUCUUGUAGAGGGGGGUAGAAUUCCAGGUGUAGCGGUGAAAUGCGUAGAGAUCUGUAGGAAUACCGGUGGCGAAGGCGGCCCCCUGGACAAAGACUGACGCUCAGGUGCGAAAGCAUGGGGAGCAAACAGGAUUAGAUACCCGAGUAGUC
rnacentral:rRNA from 1 species